UAGGUUCUAACAAUAUUUUUACACCCGACAUGGCAAACUCAUCAGUUAUCCAAUAAGUAAUCCAGUUUGAGUUUUAAGAUAUAUCUAUUAAUUUAAGAUUUGAUAAAAUCUGUCAAAACCAUUUAAACCCCGCAACUCCGCUAUUGGUUAAACCACCAGACAAACUAGUAAAUAUUUUUUUUUCUUAUAUUUUUAAUUUAUAUUACUAAAAUCUGUGUUGUAUUCGAAACCAAAAAGUAGGUUGUUUUACUCUUCCUCUGCUCCGCAGAUUUCCUUUUCAUUAGAUGAUGUGAUUUUGUAUCAUUUUUUUUUGUUAUAGACAACCUAUUAAAUUUUUAUUUUUAUUUUCGUUUAUUUUAGAUCAAAUCUAAUUUAUUUUACAAAUUGUAGAUUAAAUUAUUUUUAAAUAAUUUUUAUGAGAAAUUAAAAUAAAAUUAAAAUAAAGAAAACAAAUCUUUUGUAGUUUUUAAUAAAAUUAUUGCCAGUAUAUAAUUUAGCAGAUGCAUAAUUGUUUUUUUUAUUUUUAAUAAAUUAUUAUUUUAUUUCAUUUAAAUGGUAUAAAGAGGAAAAAUGGUAGGGUUAAACAGAUUUUUG
rnacentral:lncRNA from 1 species